AGGACUGUGAUGCCCAGCCCUGUCCUCCUCGAGAUACCAAUAACUUAGAACUACUGAACUUCAAGAAAAACUUAGACUUCAUUUUCAAAAGUCCUUCGUCUGGCGUUAUAACGUCCCGUGUUCACCAAGUUGGAUUAAAACUCCGUUAACGACUGAUAUCAGAGACACUGCUGUGACUAUUUAACAUCUCGAGUGUCGUAUUGGUAGACAGGAGUUUUCCAUAAACAACUGCUAACUCACCCACCCCCACCGUGGAAAAUAUCGAAGG